UGAGCACUUCUUGACCUGCACAGGCAUGGAAACUGAAGAGCGUCCUGCGCCUGCUGGGAAGACAGCACCAAAAAGAAGGGGUCCUGCUGCAAAAAAGUCAACUGCCAUAGUGUUGGAUGAGACAGAUAGUGAUAAUGAUAAUGAUGAUACGAAUGACAAUGACUUUGAAAUCACGCAGCCGUCCGCAGGAUCAGGAAAAAAGAAAGGAGGGAGAAAACCUGCUGCUCAAAAUGCGAAAAAGGCACCUGCCGCUCAAAAUGCGAAAAAGGCACCUGCUGCUACCAGGAAGAGAAACGUAGGUGGCAAGCAAUCUCAGGUUUUGGGUCAAAAGCUCAUAACCGAUAUGAUGGAGAAAACAGGAAUAUCACCUGAGAAGAAAGUGAGGAAGAUGAGGGCUUCUCCAUUUAACAAGAAAAGCAGUUCCGUGUUGGGCAGGGUUGCUGCUGCUGCCAACAUAGAAGAAAGUGUAAGUGAAGACUUGUCUGGUGGUGGUUCUGCUGGUUCAAACCCUUCUCCAGGCACCGCAGAGGAUGAGGUGGUUGAGGUUGCAGCACCUCCAUCAAGAACUAGACCUCAAAGGGUCAUUCGUAAGCCAAUGACGUAUGUACUAAGUGAUUCUGAAAGUGACAACGAUUCUGAUCAAAAUGAAGAUUAUUCUGAUUUUGAGGAAGAGGAGCAGGAGGAGGACUAGGCCUUGUGCUUAUUAACUACUAGGAAGUAACAUGAUCUGCGUCUUGUGGAUUCGUUAG
rnacentral:lncRNA from 1 species